AAGGAAGCGAGCUGUAAUGGCGGGAAGAGAGCUUAUUCACAUUUCCCGUUGCUCUUCGCUCCCUUUCCUUUUUUGAGUGACCAGUGAAGUAGGUCUGCCGCGUGUUGCUAUGGCUGGGGUGGGACAAGGGGGAUGCCUGCCUGCUGGUGAGUUACCAGUUAGAAGCAGGACAGCUUCCAGUGAUAACACGUUGCUCUCUUAUUCUUCUGGAAAACGUUCAAGGUCGCGCUGGCGGGAGUACUCAGUAGGCCAGACGCGGGACGUACUCAAGAGUAGUAUAUCCCAGCACUUCGUUUGUAUUAGCUACUCUCAGUGAAGAAAUCAUAACCAUGGCAACGGGUCUCAAGGUGUACUUCUGUGGCAGCAUCAGAGCUGGCCGAGGAGACGUGGAGAUUUAUGGUCGCAUUGUGGAGAUGCUCGGGAAGUAUGGCACCGUUUUGACACCUUUCGUGGCUGAUCCAAACCUGACAGUACAUUCAGCUGAAGAAGG